CAAGGUUAAAACUCAAAUGAAUUGACGGGGGCCCGCACAAGCGGUGGAGCAUGUGGUUUAAUUCGAUGCAACGCGAAGAACCUUACCUACUCUUGACAUCCACGGAAUUUGGCAGAGAUGCNUUAGUGCCUUCGGGAACCGUGAGACAGGUGCUGCAUGGCUGUCGUCAGCUCGUGUUGUGAAAUGUUGGGUUAAGUCCCGCAACGAGCGCAACCCUUAUCCUUUGUUGCCAGCGAUUCGGUCGGGAACUCAAAGGAGACUGCCGGUGAUAAACCGGAGGAAGGUGGGGAUGACGUCAAGUCAUCAUGGCCCUUACGAGUAGGGCUACACACGUGCUACAAUGGCGCAUACAAAGAGAAGCGACCUCGCGAGAGCAAGCGGACCUCAUAAAGUGCGUCGUAGUCCGGAUCGGAGUCUGCAACUCGACUCCGUGAAGUCGGAAUCG
rnacentral:rRNA from 1 species